GGUUAAGCGACUAAGCGUACACGGUGGAUGCCCUGGCAGUCAGAGGCGAUGAAGGACGUGCUAAUCUGCGAUAAGCGUCGGUAAGGUGAUAUGAACCGUUAUAACCGGCGAUUUCCGAAUGGGGAAACCCAGUGUGAUUCGUCACACUAUCAUUAACUGAAUCCAUAGGUUAAUGAGGCGAACCGGGGGAACUGAAACAUCUAAGUACCCCGAGGAAAAGAAAUCAACCGAGAUUCCCCCAGUAGCGGCGAGCGAACGGGGAGCAGCCCAGAGCCUGAAUCAGUGUGUGUGUUAGUGGAAGCGUCUGGAAAGGCGCGCGAUACAGGGUGACAGCCCCGUACACAAAAAUGCACAUGCUGUGAGCUCGAUGAGUAGGGCGGGACACGUGGUAUCCUGUCUGAAUAUGGGGGGACCAUCCUCCAAGGCUAAAUACUCCUGACUGACCGAUAGUGAACCAGUACCGUGAGGGAAAGGCGAAAAGAACCCCGGCGAGGGGAGUGAAAAAGAACCUGAAACCGUGUACGUACAAGCAGUGGGAGCCUCUUUAUGGGGUGACUGCGUACCUUUUGUAUAAUGGGUCAGCGACUUAUAUUCUGUAGCAAGGUUAACCGAAUAGGGGAGCCGAAGGGAAACCGAGUCUUAACUGGGCGUUAAGUUGCAGGGUAUAGACCCGAAACCCGGUGAUCUAGCCAUGGGCAGGUUGAAGGUUGGGUAACACUAACUGGAGGACCGAACCGACUAAUGUUGAAAAAUUAGCGGAUGACUUGUGGCUGGGGGUGAAAGGCCAAUCAAACCGGGAGAUAGCUGGUUCUCCCCGAAAGCU
rnacentral:rRNA from 1 species